GACGGACGCUGGCGGCGUGCUUAACACAUGCAAGUCGAGCGGUAAGGCCCUUUCGGGGUACGACGAGCGGCGAACGGUGAGUAACACGUGGGUGACCUGCCCUUAGCUCUGGGAUAAGCCUGGGAAACGUGGUCUAAUACCGGAUAUGACUCCAUGACGCAUGUUGUGGGGUGAAAGCCUUGUGCGGCUAGGGAUGGCCCGCGGCCUAUCAGCUUGUUGGUGGGGUGAUGGCCCACCAAGGCGACGACGGGUAGCCGGCCUGAGAGGGCGACCGGCCACAUGGG
rnacentral:rRNA from 1 species